rnacentral:rRNA from 1 species
GACGAACGCUGGCGGCGUGCUUAACACAUGCAAGUCGAACGGAAAGGCCUGCUUUCCCUUGUGGAUUGCGGGUACUCGAGUGGCGAACGGGUGAGUAACACGUGAGUGAUCUGCCCCCAACUUGGGUAUAAGCCUGGGAAACUGGGUCUAAUUCCCGAUAGGACUGCAGGGUGGUGCCUGUGGUGGAAAACGAUUUUCUAGUGGUUGGGGAUGAGCUCGCGGCCUAUCAGCUUGUUGGUGGGGUAAUGGCCUACCAAGGCGGCGACGGGUAGCCGGCCUGAGAGGGUGGACGGCCACAUUGGGACUGAGAUACGGCCCAGACUCCUACGGGAGGCAGCAGUGGGGAAUAGUGCACAAUGGGCGGAAGCCUGAUGCAGCGACGCCGCGUGGGGGAUGACGGCCUUCGGGUUGUAAACUCCUUUCGACCGCGAGGAAGCCACCUGGUUGGAAGGGUGGUGACGGUAGUGGUAGAAGAAGCACCGGCUAACAACGUG